rnacentral:rRNA from 1 species
AGGACGAACGCUGGCGGCGUGCCUAACACAUGCAAGUCGAACGAGAAAGUGGAGCAAUCCAUGAGUAAAGUGGCGCACGGGUGAGUAACACGUGACUAACCUACCCUUGAGUGGGGAAUAACUUCGGGAAACCGAGGCUAAUACCGCAUAACACCUACGGGUCAAAGGAGCAAUUCGCUUAAGGAGGGGGUCGCGGCAGAUUAGUUAGUUGGCAGGGUAAUGGCCUACCAAGACGGUGAUCUGUAUCCGGCCUGAGAGGGCGCACGGACACACUGGAACUGAAACACGGUCCAGACUCCUACGGGAGGCAGCAGUGGGGAAUUUGCGCAAUGGGGGAAACCCUGACGCAGCAACGCCGCGUGGAGGAUGAAGUCCCUUGGGACGUAAACUCCUUUCGAUCGGGACGAUUAUGACGGUACCGGAAGAAGAAGCCCCGGCUAACUUCGUGCCAGCAGCCGC